rnacentral:lncRNA from 1 species
CAUUUGAGACAGUUUUUAUUAAAUAUACAAAAGCAAAAUAAAGCAAGCAGUCUCUAAGAAGGGAGGACAACAUAAGGGCAUUGUCUUUGGACGGUGGUACAGCACCAUUAAGGUUAACUUAGAUUAACAAAACAUGAGCAUAGACAGCUAACUAUAUUCUGUGUCUCCCUUAGUAGUUUUAAGGUCUACCUAGUCAUCAUUAUUCAAGAAAUUUUUCCUCCCCAGAAUACACAAACAUAGUAACCAAAUGUUUAUUAUACUUAGGAAAAGCAUUGUACUCUAAAAAUUAACUUAGUCUUUUCCAUGUCUAGAUGUUCUCUUCAUCUCCCACCAUGUUCAUUAGUAAGACUGAAGUAAGGUAAAACCUUCACUCAAAUCCCACACAACACCAUACGUGGUUAAUACUAUUUGCCAAAAUCAAGCAGAACAAGCAGCAGAGUUGUUUACUCCUUGUAGACAUUUAACUUUAAAACUUAAUUUUAAUCAAAGUAAAACUGUUCUAAGAAAGCUACUGGACAUAUCCAGAAACAGAACUCCAUUUUCUCCCUUGGCACCACCCCGGAAUAUUAGUUCAGAACCAUCUGCUAAGCUCUGUCAAAUCUUCUUACAAUUAUACUGUACAACUGAAAGAUGCACAUUUGGAGUGUUACAUGAUAUAAGUAAAUUGGAUGUAUACUUUUGAAUACAGGUUAUUUUCAUGGGCUUGACAUAUCACACUGCUAGAAUGUAACCACGCCUAAGAUGAAAGCCCACUCCCCUGCAAGGUAUAAGAAAUCCACAGAAGCCAUUCUUAGUACUGUAGCAAUAAUAAUCCAUGAAUACUGUUCAUAAAUAUAUAAUAUGGGGGAAAAGAGAAGUGUUAUACCAAGGAAAGUGAUUUGCUAGUUUCAAAAUGUAUCUACAUCUCUAUUUCUUUCCUAUGCAAUUAUGUGAUGAAUUUUCAAAAUACACACUGUUGAUCUGCAGAGCAAAGCAAAGCUCCAUGUUUAAAAAAUAUUUUAAACAUUGGAGUUCCCCUCGUGGCGCAGUGGUUAAUGAACCCGACUAGGAACCAUGAGGUUGCAGGUUCGAUCCCUGGCCUUGCUCAGGGGGUUAGGGAUCCGGUGUUGCCGUGAGCUGUGGUGUAGGUCUCAGAUGCGGCGCUGUGGCUCUGACAUAGGCCGGCGUCUACAGCUUUGAUUGGACCCCUAGCCUGGGAAGCUCCAUAUGCUGCGG